AUUGAACGCUGGCGGCAGGCCUAACACAUGCAAGUCGAACGAGUGGCGGACGGGUGAGUAAUGUCUGGGAAACUGCCUGAUGGAGGGGGAUAACUAAUGGAAACGGUAGCUAAUACCGCAUACCAUCGGAUGUGCCCAGCUGGGAUUAGCUAGUAGGUGGGGUAAAGGCUCACCUAGGCGACGAUCCCUAGCUGGUCUGAGAGGAUGACCAGCCACACUGGAACGGAGACCCGGUCCAGACUCCUACGGGAGGCAGCAGGGGGGAAUAUUGCACAAUGGGCGCAAGCCUGCUGCAGCCAUGCCGCGGGUAUGAAGAAGUCCUGCGGGUUGUAAAGUACUUUCAGCGGGGAGGCGUUACCCGCAGAAGAAGCACCGGCUAACUCCGUGCCAGCAGCCGCGGUAAUUC
rnacentral:rRNA from 1 species